rnacentral:rRNA from 1 species
AUGGCUCGGUCGAUCGAGUCCUUGCUGGACCUCUCCAUGAUGACAAUCGAGGAGGCGAUAGGUCGCCUCAAGGUCGUCGACACCGACGAGCCACAGCCUUCCUCGGGGCCCAUCACCACCGGCGAGAAGCUGCUCCUAACUCGGGAGCCGUGGGAUGCCAGCCUUGGUGACAGGAAGAAGGGGGAGCCUUCUUCCACGACGGGCGGCCGCAAGCGUGGCAAGCAGCGUAAGACGCGAAGAGGCCCCCCGGGCAGGGCACAAGGACGGGCCGAAGGGGACGCCCGCGGAGGCGCCAAGGACGGCGCUGCUGGCAAGCCCAAGCCCGCACAAGACAAGAGCUACCACAAUGGCCGGUUUGGCCAUUGGGCCAAUGAGUGUUGGCAACCACGACAAGGCCAGGCUCACGUCGCACAUGCGAAGGAGGAGGAGACGGCUCUGUUCAUGGCGCAUGCAAGCAUUGAGCUAUCUUCAGCGACACCAGUCGCAAAAACUCUCAUCCACCUCGACGAGCCAAAGGCACACGCUCUUCUCGGCGAUGCCUCCGGGAAGGACAAGACUACGGGGUGGUGCCUCGACACCGGCGCCACCCACCACAUGACCGGUCGAAGGGAAUUCUUCGCCGAGCUCGAUUCCGAUGCGCGAGGCUUCGUCAAGUUUGGGGAUACCUCCGCUGUGGAAAUUAAGGGCGUCGGCUCCGUCAUCUUCACCACCAAGACGGGAGAGCACCGGCUGCUCACCGGUGUCUACUACAUCCCCGCGCUAAGGAACUCCAUCAUCAGCUUGGGACAGCUGGAUGAGAACGGCUCACGCGUGCUGAUUGAGCAUGAGGUCCUACGCAUCUGGGAUCGCCAGGGUCGCCUUCUCGCCAAGGUACCUAGAGGUGGAAAUCGACUCUACGUCCUUGAUGUGCAGGUGGCACAACCGGUCUGUCUCGUUGUCCGUCGGGACGACGAGGCGUGGCAAUGGCAUGAGCGCUUUGGGCAUCUUCACUUUGAGGCCCUGAAGCGUCUAAGUGCCAAGGAGAUGGUACGAGGCUUGCCAUGCCUCAACCAUGUGGAGCAGUUCUGCGACAUCUGCGUACUAACGAAGCAGAGACGACUCCCCUUUCCCCAACAAGCGAGUUUUCGGGCCAAGGAGAAGUUGGAGCUCGUGCACGGCGACUUGUGCGGCCCGGUGACGCCAGCCACACCAGGAGGUCGACGCUACUUCCUGCUGCUCGUCGAUGGUCUCUCUCGCUACAUGUGGGUGAUGAUUCUCGGCAGCAAGGGAGAAGCGGCGGACGCCAUCAGGCGCGCGCGGGCUGGUGUGGAGGCGGAGAGCGGCCACAAAUUGCGUGUGUUGCGCACUGACAACGGCGGCAAAUUCACGGCGGCUAAAUUCGCGCCGUACUGCGCCGAUGAGGGCAUCCAGCGCCACUACUCCGCGUCGUACAGCCCGUAG